rnacentral:rRNA from 1 species
GGGGGGCCUACGGGAGGCAGCAGUGGGGAAUAUUGCACAAUGGGGGAAACCCCGAUGCAGCAACGCCGCGUGAAGGAUGAAGGUUUUCGGAUUGUAAACUUCUUUAGUCAGGGACGAAAAAAAUGACGGUACCUGAAGAAUAAGCCACGGCUAACUACGUGCCAGCAGCCGCGGUAAUACGUAGGUGGCGAGCGUUGUCCGGAAUUACUGGGUGUAAAGGGCGUGUAGGCGGGAAUGUAAGUCAGAUGUGAAAUCCCAGGGCUUAACUCUGGAGCUGCAUCUGAAACUAUGUUUCUUGAGUGCCGGAGAGGAAAGCGGAAUUCCUAGUGUAGCGGUGAAAUGCGUAGAUAUUAGGAGGAACACCAGUGGCGAAGGCGGCUUUCUGGACGGUAACUGACGCUGAGGCGCGAAAGCGUGGGGAGCAAACAGGAUUAGAUACCCUGGUAGUCCACGCCGUAAACGAUGGAUACUAGGUGUA